rnacentral:rRNA from 1 species
UACGAAGGGUGCUAGCGUUGUUCGGAAUGACUGGGCGUAAAGGGUGCGUAGGCGGCCAGAAACGUCUGAUGUGAAAUCCCUGGGCUUAACCUAGGAACUGCAUUGGAUACGGUCUGGCUAGAGUCCGCGAGAGGAAGAUGGAAUUGUGCGUGUAGAGGUGAAAUUCGUAGAUAUGCACAAGAACACCGGUGGCGAAGGCGAUCUUCUGGAGCGGUACUGACGCUAAGGCACGAAAGUGUGGGGAGCAAACAGGAUUAGAAACCCCUGUAGU